AGAAAACUAUUACUCCUUUCAAAAGAUAGAUAAAAAUACAACAAAUAUAUGAACAUUCAAUAAUUUUUAAAUGAUAAUGUUUAUAUCAUCUCUUCUAUUUACAAAAUGUUCCACUUUGCAAAAACAUGUUAUCCCCCAAUGAGGUCUGUUUUUGUUGUUUGACCUGCUCUGCAACAAACACUGGACUUUCCUAACAAAUUUAGAUAUGGCGUUUAUAGGAAGUGAUGUUGGAUGUUUUCAUAACGUGGCUUUUUGAAACUAAAAUUCAGUAAAUAGAAAUAUCAGUGAGGGGUCUUUGGUUGGAGAAACUGAACUGCAAGAUCAGGGCUUUUCCCACCCACUUUUCCCCCCGACAGCAGGCCCUAUGCACUCCCAUUCUCUGUAUCUGUCUCCUAACCUGACCACCGCCCCCCACCACCAUCUUUCCAUGGUGAUAGAGCUGUUCACCCACAAGAGUGCUAAAAGGUCAUUGUAAAGGUAAUUUUCUUGUAAUCAGGAAAGAUGGAAACAAAUAAAAUGUGAAUGCAUCAUUAUUACUAUCAUCGGCAAGGCUGAGAAACAGAUUGUUGGAUAUAUGAUUAACAUGUUUGAAUAUAUGAGCUGUGAAUGGCCUAUAAGUUCUAAUACUAAGUCAAGUUCAGAAAAUGUCUUUAAUGAAGUUCUAAAUAUGAAUAUGAACUGCUCAAUGCCUUAUUUUGGCAUUCCUGCUGUUUAACGUGUUUAUGAUGUGUUUUGACUAUUAAACUGUAAAGUCUUUCACUGUUUAUAUUCCCUCACACUCCCACUGCAUACACUAUUAUUACCAUACUUUUUAGAAUUUUCUGGAAGAGUCUAUUCAGUCACAAUCAUUGUAGACAGAUGUUAGUAUGCAGAGAUUUUAAGCACAGAAAGUAGAAGCAAUGUUACCACAUCUUCCACAGACUAUCUCCUUAAAAUACUUGUGAAUUAUUUUUGAAAACUCACAAAAUUGUGAAAUUUCUACUGGUGUCUGAAACCAUCAGCUACAUCUUCUGUUUUUAUUUUUUCCGCUUUUAUUCACCGUCCGGUUAAAUUGGAUACUCUGGUUGUUUCUGAUUAAAAUCUCCUUGCUAAUAUAUAUUCCUCUCAUGGCUGUUCGUUAUGCAUUAUACAUUUCCUUUCCCAAAAUGAAAUCACUGCUUUUUUGGUAUAUUUUAAUUUUAUUUGCACCGCUUAACUUUCAUAUAUAGAUUUUUAGCAAAUGACCUCGUUGUAACUGUCAGUUUACUAUCAACCGAGCUUUCUCUUGGGCAAAUUUUCCACAUCCACUGUUCACCUCAAUCACCCACUGUGGUUUCCUGAUCUCUCUCUAACUAUUUGGUGGCUUCAAAAGCUGAUAUUUUAUGGUAUUCAAUAGUAAAACUAACAAUAAAAGCUAUCAAUAUUCUAAAAUAGGACAUUUUGAAAUCUAUUUCUACUAGAGAAAUGAAUUAAACAAAUGAACUAGAACAUGUAAAAAAAUCCCGUCUGGAUGUUAAAUAUAAACAUAUGAAAAAUAUGGAAAUAUCACUGAAUAGAUAUAAUUAAUAGUGCUUUAUCAGAGUAAUAUUUUUGUAAGGUUAAAAAAUAAAGAACACCUUUUGUUUCCAUUAUUUAGGCAUUAGGACUGUUCCCUUUAUGACAUGUACUGGUCAGCGCUACAUGAAGACUUAUCUUUCUUUAUCUGAACUUCAAACCAUGCUACCAGCCACUGCUUGUGAAACACCACUUUCUGCUUUAGUUAUUUUCACAAGUCCUACUGCCCGCAGUACACUGCCCCCUCUUUGAGGACACGGCGUAUCUAUAUGAAGGCUGAUGGCUCUCACUGAUCCUAGCUUGCUAUUUUUACCACAAUACGUAUUCAUCUAUAAACCAACUUUACAAAAGAAAAUAUCUCAAAUCAGAAAUGUAAUGUUUAUUUCAUAUGAUUAAACUUUUCCCCAUGAUCCCAGACACUUGUUAGCUCUUUAAAACAAGUUUAUUCUUAGUUAAUAGCUCUGAAACUUUUUUAAAAAUGAAAAGACAGAGAAAACCCAGUGUUAAAUGCAAAUUUUUUAAAAAACUCUUUGCAGGAGGAAAUAUCUUUAUUUCGUGAAUUUAGCUAAAGAGGGACUCGAAUGGAGUUGAUAUCUGUAUGGAAAUCAGCCUUUGGAUUACAUAGUAUUUACCAAAGCUCUUUUUAAUAAUAUGAUGUUAUUUGAUAUCCAGAUGAUUUGAAUAAAUUGGCAUUGUUUAGGGAAAACCUAUAUCUUCAUACAUACACUCAUGUACAAAUCGUGUCCAUGCUUCAUGGGAGUAUGUACCUUGUCAAUUAUUAUUCACCUCUUUGGGUAUAUAAAAGAUACAUCUCUCGAUUUCUUAAAACAAUGGCAAAAGAGAAGAGAGUUUCCCUUUUGGAGAAUAUCCCCUACUUGAAGCGUACUACUUAUUUCAGAAACAUCUUCGCCUUUUUAAAAUAAUUGAUCUCAGUGGAAAAGAAAUUCUCCACUCUACCCAAUAUGACUACAUUUCAUCUUGAAAGUAAUAGAUCCUGAGCUGUUUUAACAAAGGAUAAUCACGGAAACCUAGAGUAAAAUCUCAAAAAUAGUGGGAAAAGUACCAAAUACAUAAUGCCCAAUAAUCUAACACAAAUCCAUCAAAGAUUCUUCACUUUUAUAGAUGUCAUAGGCAUGUGUGGUAAGAUGCCUCUCAAAAAACACAAAUAAUUACCUGCAACAGAUGUACUGGAAUCACUAAAGCUCUAACUAUAAUAUGUAGAAAACUGCAACCAUGUAUUUGCUAGGGGUUUUUUCAAGGAGAUAGCUGUAAUAAUUUCCCUACCUCAAACCUAAAAAUACAAAAUAUGUCUAGAGAUAUUUAAGGCCACACGUCAACAGCUCUUCUUGAAUCCUCUGCUUUGCAAUCAAUAAUUCUCCAGCCACUAGUGAAUAUGCUCCAUGACUCAUCAAAAACGGUAUACGCAGUCAAUGGGGAUCAUUGUUCCCCUCAUGCUCCACACAUGCGUUGACACUGACAGCAGUUAUGCCUCCUAUAGUGGGAGACAGCAUCAAGAUGGCACCAAGCCGGGAGGCAACUCCUCUGAGGUUCUCUAUAAAAUUGCCCCACCCAAAGGGGAACCCACUACAUCCAUCCUGUCUUACAUCUUUGGCAUCCUUCAAGGAAAUAAAAGUAGGCAUACUUUAUAUGGAUGGAAAGCGACUGCAUUUUUUCAGCUUCACACUCACUGUGCAUGGCAAAAUGUACUUCAGUUAUGAAAAUAUCUGGAAGGAAUGUUUCCAGGACCUAUGCCAUUGUGCUCUGUUUACCAGUCAGAUGCUUUCUCAAGAAUGUGUUCAAAUUACAAAGACAACAUCUCCGUGUAUAGGAAUUCUUCAAAGCCCAUAACAUGACUGCAGAAACAUAUUUUCACAUUUCCUAACAUUCGAACGCAUGCCCUCUUCCCCACAGGUGAAAACCCUUCAAUCUCACACAUCCAUCAAACUAUGAUUAACAUUUGGUCAGGAGUUUGUCUGGACUGAUUUGAUGUUUUUAUUUUCUAAGGAAGGAAAGUCACAGAAAAGGAAAAUACAUAUUAAGCAUUUGAGGAUAAUUGCUAUUUACUGAAAACUCUAUUUUAAAAUCAAUUUUAGUGACUCGUCUAAGUUUGGUAACUUCAGGACAAUGAUAACUCUAGUGUCUCUAGAAUGUUCCUAAGUAGCAAUCAUACUCUGUUCUGGCCUUUGAGAGGUGUUAAGACUCAUCCCCUAAUUAUAAGCCUUUUCUCUGUGAUUGCUACCUCACCACUAAAUCUCCAAACUAAAUACUAGUUUUGAGGAAAUAAAAAUAGAUGUUUGGUGUGUUUUCUCAAAUUUUGGUUACAAUGGAUAAGAAAGACGAGGUAUUUCUAUGUAUAAUAAACUUCUUUAGCUUGUAAAAAUAAGAGUCCAUUUUGUUGUGUUCUGACCAGCAAACUCUUUAGGCUUUCUCUCAGAAUACUGCUUUCCUGCUUCAUUCUAGAACAGCACUGCCCAUUAGAAAUACCACGCAUGCCACAUUUGACACUUUAAGUUUCCUAGUAGGCGCAUUAAAAAAGCAACGGGUGAAAUUAAUCUAACAAUAUAUUCUAUUGAAACCAAUACAUCCCAAAUAUUAUCACUCUAACAAAUAAUCAAUAUAAAGAUAUUAAGCAGAUGUUUUACAUUCUUUCCUUCCUACGAAGUUUUCAAAACCCAGAUGUAUUUUCCACUUCGAGCAAAUCUCAGCCCAGAUGAGCCACACUUCAAGUGCUCAACAGCCACAUGGGGCUAGUGGCUACUGCAGUGGACAGCACAUUCUACAUUUCCAAAAAUACGAAGUUUAUAUGCUUUAACAUCUUCCUAGGUAACAUCCUCUGUGAUGGGUAUUGCUGUUAGGAUUUCAUAUUUAGCAAACAUUUAAGUGAAUGUACUCCACUUCCUCCCUCCCCUCCGUGACCCUCAUAUCUGCUGCCCAGCCUGCUGUCUCUUUCUUAGCGUGUAAGAAACUCCAAUCGCCUCUUCUUUGGAGCCUCUCCUAAGCAAGAUGUGAGAUGCUUUCUAAUCUGCGCAUCUUCUAUCACCAAGCAGAAAGCCAGAAGGUGCAGCAAAGCUCCUUUCUCUGGUUCCAUAAAUAGACGUAUCAAGAACAGACCUAAUGUAUGGCGACAAUGAUAAAUGCAAGGGCAAUAUUUCUGCUUACAAUGAAGACAGGAAAUUCUAUAUAAUAAAGUAACACACUCUUCCUCAAUGAGAAAUGCGAUUUUACUCUUUUUUUCUCCCCAGGAGAAACCUUGGGAUAUUCUGUUCCUGCUCUGGAACAGAACCCAGUGUUUCAUUUCAUAGGAAUUCUGUGCCCAGAGGAAGAAGAGAAUUUUGGAAUCAAAAUUUAAUGAAUUCAACUUGGAGUCUCAGUAUGCCUCAAAUGUGGGGAUGCAAACACAAGCAGUAAUAUCUCAAACCAUAAAACACUCCAGCGUCUCUCUUGGCACUGCUGCACAGAGAAUCACGCUUAUGUGUAUCUACACACAGAUUUGUUCUUGGUUACAUGAGAAGAAAAUUAAACUAGGCACAUGUGAGGCUGAAUCUCCUAGCAAUAAUAAAACCUGAUGAUUAUGUCUUAAGUGACACUGUAAUUAUCGACGGAUGGAUGAACAGGUUUUCUGGUGCUGACCCAACCUGUUCCCUAAAAUACAAAAGGCAGCUUUUGUAGUGCUCGGCGAGGAAACCCCUUAUUAAACAAACAGAACUAGAAGCUAUGUCCACAUUUUCAAAGAAGGGCUAACAACACAGUAAUCCAAAAACAUUUCACGCCAUGCACCAUACACAGCACGGAUGAAACUCAGAACGCUGUAAGCUUCCUAAAAAAGUCCUGAGCUACAGUUGUCCCCAACUUUAAGAAAGCAAAGAUACAAGUGACAACGGUGUGCUUUCUCCAGCUACAAAAUAACUUUAUUCAGCGUCUCUCUGGCCAUAACUACAUCCAAGACCUUCCAAGUACUGGGCUAAAUAUUCUUAGGAUGAAUUUUACAAUCAUUGAAUCUUCAUUUUAACUUGUCUCCGUGAUCUUUUAUCUCAAUAGCGAGACAAGGAGAAACACCAAGGCUCUCAGGAUCCCACAGAGAUAACACGGAGUGGAUCACUUACGCUGGUAUAGAACAGCUAUGGACUCAGUACCCCCGGGUAUAAACAGACGCCGUGUUCAAACCCAGGAGGGAGGAACACCGCGUCCACGGGUGUAGUAUUUCAAAGCGCGUUGCAGAGGGCCUGCAAAUCCAAAGGCAUUAAUGACGACUUCUCUCUCCGUGUAUCAAUUUGUUUAAGAAAUUCCUCCGAGUGUGGCAGAGCCUACCACCCAUUUGCUACAGCUUGCGCCUGUGCCGGGGGCCACACGAAGUAAAGGCAGCGGCAGUCGCCUUUCUGGCAGCUUCUCACUCGAUCUUAAUCCUAGGGAAGUACCCUGCACGGAAUCACCCCACAGAGCCCCGGCAGCCGCACACCCCGCGUCCCCGGGGAGGCCGUGCACACAAGAGCCCUUCCACAGCACCCCGCCGCCUGCGCGCUGCUGGGAGGGCGAGCAGAGCUCCGCCAGGUACCUGCUCGUGUUACAGGCUCUGGAAUCAAAGUAUUCUCACAUGACACAUCACUGCCAAUAACAGAUUCCGGCUCCAUUAAAAAAAAAAAAAGUGGUGGGGGGGGGCUACAUAUUUGUCCUGCUUUUGUCUAAAACCCAGAACCCAAGUACUAACACUUUUCCUUCUCAAUCUUUCAUGAAAGCAAUUCAAUCAAGCUACUGCGGCUCCACCCAGAGAGCGUCUAUACUUACUUUUCUUACAGUUUUUGAGUGACGCACUACAAAACGAUGGGGGAAAAAAAAAAAGGAGCCCUCUGGUCUCACGCAGGGCGUCUUCCGCCCUGUAAACUUGGCAAAAGGCGAACUGGACUGAAAUCCAGCACUCUCCAUAUAAGGAAGCCCAGCUAAACAUGUCAUGCGUAAUUUACGGGUAGCAGGCAGAGAAUUAACCUUUGCGUGCACAUCUUUGGCCCCGGCGAAAACCGGGCUGGAUGGCAGCCCCGGGGACGGGGACGCGGGGUCUCCCGGGAGAAACCGGGGCUCCCAUCCCAUGGGCUUGCAUCCGCCCCCGACAAAGGUCAUUAAGUUGUAAGUACUCUUCCACGCACCUGUUUCUUUCAUCUCCCCCCUCUUUCUCUCUCUUCCUCCCAGGCUGCCACCCUGGACGCUGGCUGUGCGCUCUCAGUGUCCGCAGAGCCCGGGGAGGCUGCAGCUGCCACCUCCCGCCUCCCUGCAGUUGGCGACGCCGCGCGCCGCGGCCGCGCCGUGGAGAGCCCGCCCGCGCCCGAGCGGCGGCCCGGCCCCACUUCCUCCCGGCGCUGGACAGCCCGCGGGGCGCAGACAAUGCGGGGCGGCGGGCAGCGCCGGGACGGGCCGGGAAACUCACCUCUCGCAUGUUCAGAGGCGGCCCGACUGCCGGCCGAGCGCCCGCGGCGUGGGGGGAGCCAUGGCCCCGGAGGCCCGCGAUUCAAAUCGGAAGGUGUCGGGCCCGGUCACGGGAGCAUGGUGCGCGCCACAACUCGUGCGGCGGCAGGGGGAGGACUGGGCGGCCGCGGCGCGGCCUCCGCUCGCCGAGGCGGUUUCCGCUGCUGUGCGCGGCCCCUCCCCGCCGGCCCAGCCCCCCAGGAAGCCGGGCGCGCUCGGGCCCGGGAGCGCGCGGCGCCGGCGGCAAAGCGCCAGCUCCCCGCCCGCGCCCCUCGCCCCUCGCCCUUGCCCGCCGCCGCGCCGCCGCUCGCCGCGCAGGGUCCGCGGGGGUGGCCGCAGCCCCUCGGGGUCGGCGCGGCGCGAAAGGAAGCGGGGGCCGGCGCCGGCCGGGCGCAUCCCCGCGCCGCGCGGUGGUAUCGUCCAUCCCGUACGUUCAGCACUGUACCCCGAGGCACGGUGCGAACGGACGCGCCCCUCCUGCGGCGUGCCGCUGCUGCCCGCGAGCCGGGCGGACAGGAGGCGGCGGGUGGACGGGGCCCGGGGAGCAGGCCGGCACGGGUGGCCUGAAGGGGAGACCAGAUCGGGAGAGAGCAGCGGGAUCGCACGGGGCUACUGCGCCUUACAAUGCGCCACACGGUUUUUGAACCUGGACGGCCCACAGGCGGGAAAAACACCUGCAGGACUGCCAGUGUGAGUGUCUCUCUCAAGUAGCAGGGUGUCCACGGUUUUGAAAUUCCGUAGUAAAACUCAUUGUCACACAAGCACAAACACAGACCAGCUUCCCAUCUAGUUUGUAAAUAAUACGUGGCAUGUAAAAUCUCCUUUCCUUCCAACUCGGCAUUCUAUGAUUUAUAGAAAGCAAGGCCCCUUCUUCAAAAACAGCAUCUCAUUUUCUGAAAUACUGGAAUGUUCCAAGGCAAAUAAAUCAUAUUAUUGCCGGAGCAAAAGAAACCACAGCCCCAAAUCCUAAUAGACCGGGUGUUAUAAGAUGUAACUUGGCUUCACUUUGAAUGGAAAGAAUCCUGGACUAACGUGAUGUGAUAAAGUUUUGAAGAUUUGGGGAUAGAAUUUCCUUUGGAUUUAAGGAAUUUGGGUAAUUCGUUCAAUGAUGAUCCUAAUUAGGAACAAUUGGUUCCAUGUUUUGAACAGAAUAUUGGACAAAACGUUGGAUAUGGUGUGAUGAUCUUCCUACAGCUUUGUUGUGUUCAAGAGGGUGGGACCGACUUAAAGAGAAGAUGAAAAAACAUCGUGAAAGGUAUAACAAGAUCACUCUUGGCUGCUAAUGGUCUCAUCUCAGAAGAGAAGGCAGAAAGUGCAUGAAGAGUGGGCCCUGGCCAGGAGGGCAGGGGCAGCCAACCGCCGAAGGCCUGGCGAAGAAAGUGGUUUGGUUGAAGACCCUUAGCUGUGAGAUGGAGUAAACAUUAGAAUCUUACUUCUCAGAGCUGAAGAGGAUCCCGCAGACAACUAGCUCCAUGCCUUUGAGGAAAUGACAUACGUGUGUGAGGAGGUAAAGUUUAUUUGGCUCAAUAGAAAGAGUAUUCUCUACAGGAAGCUCUGUCUCAAACAGAGUUAAGUGUGGGUAAACCGAUGCCCAUAAGCUUCUAGGAUGUGGGAGUCAGGAUGAGUUGUCGGGAGCCAAGAUGGUGGUGCCCCCUGGUCAUGCACCUAGUUGGAAUGCUGCCUCUUAGGCAACCAAAAUAUGUUUCGCUUUAUACCAGAAUUCAAGUGUCUGGAAUUAGAGCCACGGGGGAGCCCUCACAGUACGCAGGGCACACCUCCACACUGCCCGAAUUCCUCCUCUUUCGUAACACAGGAUUCUAUUACUGGCUGCGUGAAUGGGUGGGCUGCUUUGGGAAGUUCGUCCCGUGACAGAGGAGAGGGAGACACCCACUAACCUGAGAGAUCAGCUGGAUCAGCCCUGGAUAUCAACAGUCGGCAGACCCCCAGCUGGAUCACCCACACGUCACAGAGCCAGCCGCGUCUCAGUAAGACCGGUAUAAAGUUUCACAAUGCAAUGCAGCAGUCAUCCACUUUCAACUUUUAUUAGACUCGAUGAAAAUUUAUGUCUUAGGUAGUGUGUCACAUGAACGUAAUCUUAAUGAAACAUAGUAAAAUAUAUGUCUAUAUUUCAAAAGUCAAAAUUUAUCUUUUCCAGCAAUAAAUUAUUACAACAUGAUGUCUAAUUUUACUUAACGUGGAUUUGGGGGCAGGCUCUAAAUGCUUUUUCUUAUGACAGCAUGUGAAAUAAAAAGCAUGGGCAAUGUGUCCUGCUGUUCUAAUGAUGACAAGAAUAUUCUCUUCAACGAUCUGUGUGUCUCACGGAAACUCAGUCAGAUAAGCACUAAUUUUUUUCUGUAGAUAUAAUUUUCUCAAAGACAGAACAAAUCCUAAAAUUAUUUUCCAUAAUCUAGAACCAGUUUGUUUGCUCAGAGAUUUUAGUAAUUCUCAGCAACAACAACAUCAACACAUCUGUCUUGUCAGCAAGAUAGCAUUCCCUCUGCUUCUCUGGCCUUUGUUUGCCAUUCUGAAUUACAGGACUGAUCAAUUUAGAUUGUAAUUUCCUUGGGCUAUGUUUUCUCUUGGUCUUAUCAGUUAUUCAGCAUAAUACCACAUUAUGUCUAACACACCCACAGCACUUAAUAGUUUAUGAUAUCAAAAUACCUCAUACUUGAAAUUCUGGACAUUUAAAAAGACUUCCAUCAUUUUCUUUUUAAAGACAGGGGCAUUAAAACAACAAACAACAUAAUCAAGUUGUAAUGGAAAUAGUUUUGUUUAAUUAUCGUGUGACACAUAAAGCUGAAGAUGCACAAUUUUAAUGGAUUUCUCACAACUCCAAACUUAAUUUAAAAAUUUUGACCUAGUUAAGGAUGUUGAACUUUAGUCAACAGUUCAUUUCCUAAAUUUAUAACACUAACAAUGUGUUUUUCUUCUCUCUAUAAUCAAAAG
rnacentral:lncRNA from 1 species